rnacentral:rRNA from 1 species
UACGGAGGGUGCGAGCGUUGUCCGGAAUCACUGGGCGUAAAGCGCACGUAGGCGGGUUGCUAAGUCAGGGGUGAAAUCCUGGAGCUCAACUCCAGAACUGCCUUUGAUACUGGCGGCCUUGAGUCCGGGAGAGGUGAGUGGAACUGCGAGUGUAGAGGUGAAAUUCGUAGAUAUUCGCAAGAACACCAGUGGCGAAGGCGGCUCACUGGCCCGGUACUGACGCUGAGGUGCGAAAGCGUGGGGAGCAAACAGG